CUGUUACCCAGCACAAGUGGGGAAUGUGGGGUACCGGUAAUCUAAAAAUGCCGGUUACCUGAGGCACAGGACUUCUGGCCGGACACGGAGCUGGGGGGAGGGAGGGCAGCCACAUCUGGAGU